AGAGUGAACAUGAGCCAAGAAUGACUUGCCGAUGUAUUGGUUUUUUUCUUUUUUUUUUUUUCUUUUUUUCAGAAUGGUAAAGCAUUAUCCAAAGACGAUGGAGCUAUAUAUAUUUCGGCAAGCAUUUCUUAGCUCUGUUUGGCUCUCU
rnacentral:pre_miRNA from 1 species